CAGAGUUGGCUUGAGAAUUAAGCCAGCACAGUGGAAAAAGAGCAUGGAGAAGAAUGGACCCCUAGAAAUAUUUUCACGUCUCUCAAUCCAGCAUCCACUGUGAGAGAAGUCAUCUGUCAAUUGUUAUCUUUUGAAGGUAGAAUUAGAAAUAAGCAGAGGAAUGGCAUCAUCUAGAGAAGAAUGUCAUGCCCAUUGAAGGACUACCAUUCGUGGAAAAGG